rnacentral:rRNA from 1 species
CUUGUACACACCGCCCGUCACACCAUGGGAGUUGGCUUUUCCUGAAGACGGUGCGCUAACCCGCAAGGGAGGCAGCCGGCCACGGUAGGGUCAGCGACUGGGGUGAAGUCGUAACAAGGUAGCCGUAGGGGAACCUGCGGCUGGAUCACCUCCUUU